CAGCCCCAGGCAUGGGGGAUGUGGAAAUGUCAUCGUGUUACCCAGCCUGAAGUAAAGGGCAGAUGGGUCUUGGGAAGCUGCUCUGUGGAGCAUGUGUAGCCAGAAUACAGGCUCAAGGAAAUGCUGGCUGGAGCUGGGAUUACUCCCAUGGUCCUCAGUGCCAAGAAGAUCUGGGAUCCUAAGGAAUGAAGCAGACCUGCCCAAAUUGCAGUCUUAAAGACGAAGCUUGUUUCUUAAACGUGUGGAGAGAUGGCUGUGGCACAUCCACCUGAGAUCAUGUACAUUCUGAAUAAAGAAAGAGACUCUUCCACUGUGUUAAAUAGCAUAGAGAUGCAUUUACAACCUGAAGUGUGAGAAGUUCACCACCAGCUGGGGACUGAGACCAAAUGGCUUUUUCGCUGCUGUCAGGCUGCUCUGUUGCAGGACUUGGUGUGCACUGCAGAUCUCACACCUCUGACAAUCUUAACCAGAUGGGAUGAGGGCCGUU